rnacentral:rRNA from 1 species
UGCAAGUCGAACGGCAGCACGGACUUCGGUCUGGUGGCGAGUGGCGAACGGGUGAGUAAUGUAUCGGAACGUGCCCAGUAGCGGGGGAUAACUACGCGAAAGCGUAGCUAAUACCACAUACGCCCUACGGGGGAAAGCAGGGGAUCGCAAGACCUUGCACUAUUGGAGCGGCCGAUAUCGGAUUAGCUAGUUGGUGGGGUAACGGCUCACCAAGGCGACGAUCCGUAGCUGGUUUGAGAGGACGACCAGCCACACUGGGACUGAGACACGGCCCAGACUCCUACGGGAGGCAGCAGUGGGGAAUUUUGGACAAUGGGGGAAACCCUGAUCCAGCCAUCCCGCGUGUGCGAUGAAGGCCUUCGGGUUGUAAAGCACUUUUGGCAGGAAAGAAACGUCGUGGGUUAAUACCCCGCGAAACUGACGGUACCUGCAGAAUAAGCACCGGCUAACUACGUGCCAGCAGCCGCGGUAAU